UUGAUAAAAAAUAUCCUUGUUCCUCUCUUUUGCGAGUAUAUUGGAACCAAAAGUUAUCCAAUAUGCAUCUUUGAGCUUCAUCGAGCUUAAUAUGGGAUUUUGGCUUAAAAUUGAAUGUAUUUGGCUGAAACAUUUUCAGCCUAUUUUCUUCUCCAAAGAAGAGAUAUUCAUCCUUGUUGGCGAAUAAUCCUUUCCUCAUUCCUGCAAAUUUGAUGCACGAGAAAAUAUGUCAGAAUUCAAGGGGAUCUGGACUUGUGCUAUAUUCAUCAUCUAAAUUAGAUAUUUCUACAUUUUG